rnacentral:rRNA from 1 species
UGACUCCUUGAGAGUCCUGAAGGAACGUUGAAGACGACGACGUUGAUAGGCCGGGUGUGUAAGCGCAGCGAUGCGUUGAGCUAACCGGUACUAAUGAACCGUGGGGCUUAACCUU